rnacentral:rRNA from 1 species
ACGCUCGACACCUACGGGAGGCAGCAGGUAGGGAAUCUUCCACAAUGGACGCAAGUCUGAUGGAGCAACGCCGCGUGAGUGAAGAAGGUUUUCGGAUCGUAAAGCUCUGUUGUUGGUGAAGAAGGAUAGAGGUAGUAACUGGCCUUUAUUUGACGGUAAUCAACCAGAAAGUCACGGCUAACUACGUGCCAGCAGCCGCGGUAAUCUGAGCGGGCUGGCAAGGC